rnacentral:rRNA from 1 species
AUCCACACGACUCUCGGCAACGGAUAUCUCGGCUCUCGCAUCGAUGAAGAACGUAGCGAAAUGCGAUACCUGGUGUGAAUUGCAGAAUCCCGCGAACCAUCGAGUCUUUGAACGCAAGUUGCGCCCGAGGCCACUUGGCCGAGGGCACGCCUGCCUGGGCGUC